ACCGCUAAUAAGAGAGAAGGUGAGUUCCAUAACAAAAACUAUGGGCAUAGAGGACUUUGAAGUGUCCGGUGACUGGCUUUAAAAGUUGGUUGCACGAUAUCAACUGAGCAAUGCUGUCUUGUGUGGUGGUCGCGGGGAGGUCAAGUUAGAGACAGUGAAUGGGUAGAUAGUCUGUUACUCGUCUCUUUUUGUAGCAAAUAGUCCUAAUUUUGUGGUGCGUGUUGUUAUACUGUAUUUUGUUCAUAUACAUGUGCUGAAUGCUGCCGUUUUUGUGUUCUGAACAGUUUUUGGACCGUGUAUUUUUGCAUUUUAUUGCUUGUGUUGUUACACACAGAUUUUUUUAAACAUAUUUGCAUGUUCAGAAAGGACAUGGACCAUUGUCGUUUCCAUCAUAAGGACAUUCUGUUAUAAGGAAAGAUUGGACAAAGCAAAUAUGCCUCCUUACUGGAGAAUACUUAUCUGUACAGUAAAUAUUCUGUGGUACGGAAUCAUGUUUGCGCUGUCCAAUCCUUCCUUAUAAAAGAAUUUCCUUAUGUGGGAAAUGAGCAUGCUACGUGUCCUUUAUGAACACGCAAGUAUGUGAACAAAAUACACAUGUAACAACUCAAGCAAUGAAAUGCAAAAAUAUAUGCUCCUAACACUGUUUAUAACACAAAAGCUGCAAUGCAGUAUAACAAACUUAGGACUAUUUGCCCUACAAUGAGACGAGUAACAGACAGGGUGGCUUUUCUGUCCACGAUCUCACUGUCUCUAACUCGACCUCCCCUCGAUCGACACCCAAUAAAGCGUUGGUCAUCUGAUGUCAUGCAAUGAACUUUUAAAAUCAGCCACGGGACAUUUCGUAGUCCUCGAUGGCAAUAGUUAGCGUGAUGGAACUCGCCUUCACUCUAAUUAGUGCUCCAGAUUGUGUCAGGUUUUUAGCAUGACAACAAGUAAAGCAUUACAGGAAACACUUGUUUAUUUGACUGUCCAUUGAGCCACAAGCAAUUUACUUUGAGCAGCUCAUCGGCAGCCAAUUCCACUCUUAUCUUCCACGGAUCUCGCUACAGUAUCUACACACAUAGAUAUUGAGGUCCCCUCUUGGCCUAUCGGAGGACAGGAUGUGGUAAAUACAGUAAAUAUUCCCAUUCCCGAAAUUCUAUGCAAAGGAAUAUCCUUCACCCGGAAUAAAAACCUAUGCAUUAACAUUUUGACUACGAUAUUACAUGUUACCGGAAGUUGCGUAAGCGGAAAUUCCGCUAGCCGUCACCCGGAUGGAGGUGUAAUGCCGUGGGAGCUUAAAUACACGCAACGCCCACCCGAUGCGAUGGAAAAGACAACGCUGAAACAAGUUUUCACUUCGCGUUUUUCAAUCAUCAGAUUCUAAACGACGUCGUGCAAGUGAGUUUUUAUUGCCGUGCGUUUUAUUGCAAUUGUGAAUGAUUUUAACGUUAUUCACUUACGUCCUGUAGAACGCGGCACUAGCUUAAAAGCAGCACCCACUCGACACGACCGAAGAAACGUGUUCGCUUCGCCGUUUUCAUUCAUCAAAUUCGAAACGAAUACGUAUCAUCGCCUCGAAACGUAGAAGAACUGUAACGACUGGAGCGGAGCGAGCUAAAUGCAUCCGUUUGAGCGAGGCUGGACACAAAGUUAAAAAGAUACAGCAGACACUUGGGAGUCGGAAAGACGCAAAUCUACGAAACUUUAAACAACAAGGCAUCGAUUCAACUCCUGAUGACAAGCCACCAUCCAGCAAGGAAGCAAUGCAAAUUGCAACAAAAAUCCUUCAGUAUGCACAAGAAUUACCAGACAUCGGUGAUCAACGGGACAGUUACUUGCAACUAGCAAGAAAACUGUAUGACACGCACGCAAACAUUGUCAUAAACCAAAGAAUGCAUCCAAUAAAACAAUCCAAAAUACAUAUUUUUUUCCCAAGAUAGAAAAAAAAUAAACAUUAAAAUACUGUAUGUAUUUUACUGUUGUGAUUUUUUUGAUACACCUGUAUUGCAGUUUUUGUUAUAUAAACAGUUUUUGGACAGUA